AUUAUUAUUAUUAUUAUUUUUGGGAGCGGUAGGUUCUCCUCCGACUCUCCCUUCCUUUCCUUCCGAUUGCCGGAACCCUAGACUGGAAUGAUCGCGGCGAAGGUUGCCGAAAACCCUGGGAACACUCCCUCUGCCGUGGCGGCGUCGGCGAAGGCGAUGCCGCCCCCGUUGGAUGCCCCGCCAGCGGAGGACAUCGUGGACUCCCGAGUCCACACCUUCUGCGCAAUCCUCUCCCGCGUGUCUCUGGGCGAGGUGGAGGCCGUCCUCGAGGCCUCCGGCAUCGCCCCCCUCCCCGAGCUCGUGGAGGCCGUCCUCCGCCGCUCCUACUCCAACCCCGCCGCGGCCGUCAAGUUCUUCCGGUGGUCCGGCCUCUCCCUCCGCCACUCCCCCUACGCCUGGAACCUAAUGGUCGACAUCCUCGGCAAGAAUGGCCUAUUCGACAACAUGUGGGACGCCAUCCGCUCCAUGAAACAGGAGGGCGCCCUCUCCCUCGCCACCUUCUCCUCCGCCUUCUCCUCCUACUGCUCCGCAGGUCGCAUCAAGGAUGCCGUCAUGACCUUCGAUGUUAUGGACCGCUACGCCGUCCCCCCCGACGUCGUCGCCGUCAAUUCCCUCCUCGCCGCCAUCUGCCGCCAGGACGAUCGCACCGCCGACGCCGCCGACUUCCUCGACCGCGUCAAGACCCACAUAGCCCCGGACGCCGAUUCCUUCGCCAUCCUCCUCGAGGGCUGGGAGAAAGAGGGCAACGUCGCCCGCGCCAAGAGCACCUUCGGCGAGAUGGUGGUCCGCGUUGGUUGGAACACCGGCAACAUGUCGGCCUACGACGCCUUCCUCGCCACCCUCGUCCGCGGCGCACAGGCCGACGAGGCCGUCAAGUUCCUCAAAGUCAUGAAGUCCAAGAACUGCCUCCCAGGCCUCAAGUUCUUCGCCAACGCCCUUGACAUCCUUAUCAAACAGAAUAACCAAGCCAGCGCCCUCGCGCUCUGGGACAUCAUGGUCGGCGACAGCGGGCUUGUUCCCAACCUCUCUAUGUACAACACCAUGAUUACCCUCGUCGCUAACAACGGUGACAUCGACUCUGCCUACCAGUUGCUUGACGAUAUGCCCUUUCUUGGUGUCUUCCCCGACUCUCUCACCUACAACACUAUCUUUGAGUCUUUGAUCAGGAACAAGAGGGCCCGUGAGGCCGAGAGGUUCCUUGCCGAGAUGAGGAAGAACGAGCAGCUGCCAUCACUGUCCAACUGCGCUGCUGCCAUCAAGAUGUUCUUUGACAAGUACGACCCAUCUGCUGCGAUCGAGGUUUGGAACUGCAUGGUGGAGGAACACGUCCAACUGGACGAGGAGUGUGCUGAUGAGCUGCUCCUUGGGCUAAGGGACUUGGGCAGGUUGAGUGAGGUGAGGAGGUAUGCUGAGGAUAUGAUUGACAGGGGGAUUGUGCUACGCUCAUCUACAAUGGAGAGACUGAAGAGUGCCUUCUACAAGGCAGGAAAGGACGAUGCCUAUGAUCGCAUUUCAAGGAGGAUGAAGCAGCAGUAGGACUGUGACAGUUGAAUUGAAGCAUGGUGGAUGGUGGGAUAAAGAUGAUGGGAGAAUUGAUAAAGGUUGUGAAGUGAGAGGCAUUUAUCACAGUUUGAUGCUGUUGGUGCUGUUGCUUUAUUCACCGUCGUAGUGAAGGCUUUGCCGUCUUGGUCACCUUUCACUAUCAAAUUUAAAAGGCUUAUUCCUACUUUAGGAACCAGAAGGAUCUGGCCCGGAAGAGGAAGGAAACUGUAUUUGCCGUUGGCGCGUUCUGCUUUCUAGAUGAGGAUAUCAAUCAUGUGCUCAACAAGAAGAUUCAGUUUCCACGCAUUGUUGAAGUUGACAUUUAUUGCUACUGUUUGCAACUGGAGUUUCGUAUGUACCAGAAGACCCACAUCCUGCAAAGGGAAUUUUCUCCUUCAUGAAUUUGUUACGAUCUUAUUAUAGGAAUAAUAUGAUUAUUUGGAUAAAAUGAACUGUAUUCUCUUA